AAGGAGUCUAACAUGCCUGCGAGUGUUUGGGUGGUAAAACCCAGACGCGUAAUGAAAGUGAAAAGUUGGGACUCUUUAGUGAGGCACCGACGCCCGAUCCUGACAUUCUCUGACGGAUUUGAGGCAGAGCAUGUAUGUUGGGACCCGAAAAGUGGUGAACUAUGCCUGAAGAGGGCGGAGCCAGAGGAAACUCUGGUGGAGGCUUGUAGCGAUUCUGACGUGCAAAUCGAUCGUCAAAUUUGGGUAUAGGGGCGAAAGGCUAAUCGAACCAACUAGUAGCUGGUUCC
rnacentral:misc_RNA from 1 species